rfam:Ornithorhynchus anatinus chromosome 12, whole genome shotgun sequence.
AGCAGCGUGGCUCAGUGGAAAGAGCACGGGCUUUGCAGUCCGAGGUCAUGGGUUCGAAUCCCGGCUCGGCCA